rnacentral:piRNA from 1 species
UGGAGAAGGAGUUUCAGUGCAAGAGAGAGG